rnacentral:rRNA from 1 species
AAUAGAUACCCCGGUAGUCCUGACAGUAAACGGUGCACGUUUGGUGUGGGGGAUUCGACCCCUCCUGUGCCGGAGUUAACACGUUAAACGUGCCGCCUGGGAAGUACGAUCGCAAGAUUAAAACUCAAAGAAAUUGACGGGGACCCGCACAAGCGGUGGAGUAUGUGGCUUAAUUCGAUGCAACGCGAAGAACCUUACCUAGGCUUGACAUGCACUGUGUCUCCGGUGAAAGCCGGAUAGUGUAGCAAUACACGCUUUGCACAGGUGCUGCAUGGCUGUCGUCAGCUCGUGUCGUGAGAUGUUGGGUUAAGUCCCGCAACGAGCGCAACCCUGUGAUUUGUUGCCACCGGAGCAAUCCGAGCACUCGAAUCAGACUGCCCAGAUCAACUGGGAGGAAGGUGGGGAUGACGUCAAGUCCGUAUGGCCCUUACGCCUAGGGCUGCACACGUACUACAAUGCCCAGUACAAUGUGAACCGAGACCGCGAGGUGGAGGAAAUCUAUAAAACUGGGCUCAGUU